CCGCCCCUAGCUCAAUUGGUAGAGCAAUUGCCUUUUAAGCAAGAGGUUCCGCGUUCGAUUCGCGGGGGGCGGACAA
rnacentral:tRNA from 2 species